GGGGAAAAAAAAUCAAGGGACUCUGAUCA
rnacentral:piRNA from 1 species